GGGUGUGAUCAUACCAGCGUUAAUGCACCGGAUCCCAUCGGAACUCCAUAGUUAAGCGAGCUUGGGCUAGAGUAGUACUAGCAUGGGUGACCUUCCGGGAAAUCCUAGUGUUGCACUGU
rnacentral:rRNA from 1 species